AGAGUCAGGAAUCAGCUUCCUGGCCUCAGUGUUCAUUGCAAUCCAGACGUGUUCUGAGUUAAAAUCCAUUGUCAAAGGAAUGUGACACGGGGGCUGGUAUACAGGUUCCUCUUUAAUUUGAACUUUAUAUGCUAUCUGAAAUUGAUUAAAACUUUUAUUAAGGUCUUUGUGUUUUUUAAAGGCUAAACUCAAAAUGGGAUCUCCGAAGACUUUGUAAAACAGUUGGUGCUACAGCUCUUCCUAGAUUGGUAUGUAUGUUGGAAAACACUAAAAGAUAGUUGAACAAGAUGGAAUUUUUAUUACAACAGUCACUUUCUUACAGACACCUCCUGUCCUUGAAGAAAUGGGACACUGUGACAGUGUUUGCCUCUCAGAAGUUGGAGAUACUCAGGUGGUGGUUUUUAAGCAUGAAAAGGAAGAUGGCGCCAUUUCUACCAUAGUACUUCGAGGCUCUACAGACAAUCUGAUGGAUGACAUAGAAAGGGCAGUAGACGAUGCUGUUAAUACUUUCAAAGUUCUUACAAGG
rnacentral:sRNA from 1 species